GUGAGGAAUAUUGGUCAAUGGGCGCGAGCCUGAACCAGCCAAGUAGCGUGAGGGAUGACUGCCCUAUGGGUUGUAAACCUCUUUUGCAGGGGGGUAAAGUGGUUCACGUGUGGACCAUUGCAAGUACCCUGCGAAUAAGGAUCGGCUAACUCCGUGCCAGCAGCCGCGGUAAUACGGAGGAUCCGAGCGUUAUCCGGAUUUAUUGGGUUUAAAGGGAGCGUAGGCGGGGGUUUAAGUCAGCUGUGAAAUGCCGUGGCCCAACCAUGGAACUGCAGUUGAAACUGGACCUCUUGAGAGUACAGAAGGGAGGCGGAAUUCGUGGUGUAGCGGUGAAAUGCAUAGAUAUCACGAAGAACUCCGAUUGCGAAGGCAGCUUUCCGGGGUACAUCUGACGCUGAAGCUCGAAAGUGCGGGGAUCAAACAGGAUUAGAAACCCGGGUAGUCC
rnacentral:rRNA from 1 species